GAAAUUGAACUCGCUGUGAAGAUGCAGUGUACCCGCGGCAAGACGGAAAGACCCCGUGAACCUUUACUAUAGCUUGACACUGAACAUUGAGCCUUGAUGUGUAGGAUAGGUGGGAGGCUUUGAAGUGUGGACGCCAGUCUGCAUGGAGCCGACCUUGAAAUACCACCCUUUAAUGUUUGAUGUUCUAACGUUGACCCGUAAUCCGGGUUGCGGACAGUGUCUGGUGGGUAGUUUGACUGGGGCGGUCUCCUCCUAAAGAGUAACGGAGGAGCACGAAGGUUGGCUAAUCCUGGUCGGACAUCAGGAGGUUAGUGCAAUGGCAUAAGCCAGCUUGACUGCGAGCGUGACGGCGCGAGCAGGUGCGAAAGCAGGUCAUAGUGAUCCGGUGGUUCUGAAUGGAAGGGCCAUCGCUCAACGGAUAAAAGGUACUCCGGGGAUAACAGGCUGAUACCGCCCAAGAGUUCAUAUCGACGGCGGUGUUUGGCACCUCGAUGUCGGCUCAUCACAUCCUGGGGCUGAAGUAGGUCCCAAG
rnacentral:rRNA from 1 species